GAGACAUCCGGUUUUGCUAAUUGUUAUUUGCCAUUUGAAGUAUCGUUGUUCUUAAACAAUACAACACUACACACACCUUCCACGCAUGCACUCACUUUCACCACUGAAACUACUGACUCCAAGCGCCACUGUAGCAGCGUUCGCUUCUUCUUCACAAUACCCCACAAAUUCUCUAUGGGGUUCAGGUCAGGGGAAUUGGCAGGCCAAUCGAGGACAGUAAUGCCAUGGUCAGUACACCAGUUACUGGUGGUUUUGGCACUGUGGGCAGGUGCCAGAUCAUGCUGGAAAAUGAAAUCCUCAUCUCCAUAGAGCUUUUCAGCAGACGGAAGCAUGUAGUGCUCUGAAAUCUCUUGGUACACAGCUGCAUUUACUCUGGACUUGAUGAAACACAGUGGACCAACACCAGCAGCUGACAUGGCUCCCCAAACCAUCACUGACUGUGGGAACUUCACACUGGAUUUCAAGCAACUUGGAUUUUGCUCCUCUCCAGCCUUUCUCCAGACUCUGGCGCCUUGACUUCCAAAUGAAAUACAACACUUGCUUUCGUCUGAAAAGAGGACUUUGCCUUGGACGUCCUCAGGCAUCCUUAGCUGAAAGACAAAAUUUCCCAACGUAAAACCAUAACAACAAGGUAUUAUGAAGAGAUUGUUAGUGCAUCCAAAACAAAUUCCCUCUGGUAUAAUAAUAAUAAUCAAAGACUGUAUAAAAUAUGGACGUAUUCGCCGCAAGAUCCCAUAGUUGCCUUUUAGCCACUGUGCAUUAUGAAGCUCAAGGUUUUGCGGUUCGGUUGUCACAGCCGACCCAGCCUUACCCCCCACCAAAUCAAAACGUGUGUGUGUAAUAUAUAUUUCUUUAAAGUUGAGUGUUUCAACACCGGGGUUUAUGUUAGUCGACUCCAUUGCUGACCUUUUGCGUUGCUGGAGGUUACAGCUUGGUGCUUGAUAAAGUGUAUGAAGCGGAAGCCGGCAUGGAGGCUCCUGACUGCUCUCUGAACCCAUGGUUUGCUGUGUGUGUGUGUGAGAGUCGACCCCAGGUUGAACCCAGACUGGGGUCAAAGGUCAGGGUUGAAGGGCGGGUGACUGUGCCUAAUCAGAGGCUUCGAGUUGAAGGCCGGGUCAGUGUCCCAUGGUAGCACACCGUCUGCCAGAGCAGCGCCUCCUGCAGGUCAGUUUGAGCUUCCUGCAAUCAUGACGGCUCAAUAGUGUGUAAGACAUAGAGGAAGCCGCUGCGCCUUGCUGGAUUUAAUACAUUUCUUAAAAAGGGUGAACCUUUUGGUGAAAUUCUAAAUUCUCUUCUUAAAAUAGUAAUAUUUUUAGACUGAGUGUAACAUCUCAAUCUGCAAAAGUGACAGCAGUAGGUGCAGAGCAAUGUCCAAAACAGAAAUACCAAUGGCUUCAAACUGUGUACGUUUUUGUAUUUAAUUAUCUUGUGGUUCUGGUGCAGCUGUCACUACAAUAAUGGUGCAUAUAUAAAAUAUAUAUAUACACACACACACAUACACACAAUGAUAUUGUAGUGACAGCUGCACCAAAAAUAUUUUUUUUAGUUUUUUUUACCAAGCAGCACUAAAAUAUGAAUGAUUCAUAAUAAAAUACCAGAAAAAUUAACUAUGGACAUAAGUUCUUUUUUUUAAUUAUCAUCUACAUAUAAUAAUUUAAUACAUUUCUAAAUGUAACUUAGCCAUUAUUAUAAUCCAAAUUGGUAUUAUUAUUAUUAUUUUCUUCAUGUUGUUUGUUCUGUGUUUUGACUUUUUCUCAUGC
ensembl:lncRNA